GCCUCGGUAGUGUAAUGGAUAAACACAACAGGCUGGAUGCCUGUAGCAGCGGGUUUGAGUCCCACCUGAGUUU
rnacentral:tRNA from 1 species